rnacentral:rRNA from 1 species
CAAGAGACCAGAGGCAAGAAGCAAGACUAGAAGGAAUUGGUCUAAGCCAAUUCCAACAAAAAAUCUUGCAUCCUGUUUCCGGCCUCUUGCCUCUUGGAUAGUGGCGGACGGGUGAGUAACGCGUGGGCAAUCUACCCUAAAGACGGGGAUAACACCGGGAAACUGGUGCUAAUACCGGAUAAGCUUGCCUUAAGGCAUCUUGAGGUAAGGAAAGGGAGGCCUCUGGAAUAAGCUUCCGCUUUAGGAAGAGCCCGCGUCCCAUUAGCUAGUUGGCAGGGUAAUGGCCUACCAAGGCGACGAUGGGUAGCCGGCCUGAGAGGGUGACCGGCCACACUGGGACUGAGACACGGCCCAGACUCCUACGGGAGGCAGCAGGUGGGGAAUAUUGCGCAAGUGGGGGGAACCCUGACGCAGCAACGCCGCGUGAGUGAAGAAGGCCUUCGGGUCGUAAAGCUCUGUCGAGAGGGAAGAAGUCUUUGAGGCGAAUAGCUUUAGAGGUGACGGUACCUUAUGAGGAAGCCCCGGCUAACUACGUG